UGUUUUCUGCAAUGCAAAGUGUAUACCAUACCAAUAGUUAGAGACAACGUCAACUCAUUGGAGGUAAAGGUACAAUUUUUGUCUAUCCGUGAACCAGACCACUUGAAACAACAGUGGCUAUCAAGCUCUGAAGGGACAACCCCUGCAUCCAUACGGCUGUGAGGGAAGCAUUACAUUUCUUAAAGCUGAACUUCUGCUUUCACAGAGAUACUGGAUGACCCAUAGGAUUCGUUAUAGGAAUCAGCAUUUCUCCCUUGGUUCAAAUAUAUAGAUAAAUAGAUAGAUAGAUAAGUAUAUGUAUAUAUGUAUAUAAGGGGUGUGCAUCAGGAGCUGGGACAAUGUCUGUUCACCAGGGCACCCCCCAAGGGAAGAUGAGGUCAAACGGUCACAAACUCCGGGAAGACCUUUUUAGACUGGACAUAUGAAGAAACUUCUUUACUGUCCAUUUCCCCAGAGCCUGGAAUAGACUCCCUCCAGAAGUGGGGCAAGCACCUACUAUCGAUGCUUUCAAAAAACACUUGGAUGCUUAUCUUGCUGGGAUCAUUUGACCCCAGCUGACUUCCUGCCCCUUGGGCAGGGGGCUGGACCCAAUGAUCUUGCAAGGUCCCUUCCAGCCCUAAUGUCUAUGAAAGCUAUGAAAUGCAGGCUAGCUUGGUACAAUAGACGAUAAUACCAUCUACCGUUACUGCUGUGAUAUAUGUAAAGUGAAUGGAAGGCCUCACUGCUGUUAUUAGUAGCUUGGUGUCCAGGGCUGGAGAUCAUAAGUAAAGGGUGCAUCAGAGACUUGGACGCAGUUAGAAAGAGCUUCCUGAUCAAGUCUGCAAAUUGCACAAAACUGGCAAGGAUUGUAAACACUUUGGAAAACAGGAUUAGAAUUUGAAAGGAUCUUGAUAUAUCAGAGAACUAGGCUGUAGACCGCAGCAUGACAUUCAGAAAAGAUAUAUGUAAGAUGCUAUAAACAUGGAAGAGAACUCAAAUAUGAGGGAUAGGAUUUGAGGAGGAGGAGGAGGGGGUGGGCCUAGGUAGUAGCACUACUGAGAAACACUGCUGGGGGUUAUGGUACAAGUAAGCAGUUGUUUAAAAAAAAACAACCAAACUAUUUUGGGCUACUUCAAUAAAAGUAUUGUAUGCAAGACAUAGGAAGUGAUGGUACUACUCUGCUUGGUGCUAGUUAGGUCUCGGCUGAAAUUGUGUGCAAUUCUGCAUAUAAAAUUCCACAGUUUAAAAAAGCUGAGGAGAAAAUGGAAGGGAUCCAGAGGUGAGUGACAGUGAUGAUAAAGGGGUUGGAGAGCAAACUAUGAGGGAAGAUUGAGAGAACUCUGUAUCUUUAGCUUGGAGAAAGGAGAUUAAGUUGCAGUUGUUAAAUAUAUACAGAUAAUCAAAAGACAGCAAUUGUUCUCCUUUACCAGAGAGGGCAGGAUGUGAAGCAAUGGGUUUAAGCAAAGCAGAUAUAGAUUAAGUUUUAGGAAUAACUUCCUAACUGUAAAAACAGUAGGACAACUCUGCCUAGGGAAGCUGUGGAAUCCCAUUCUCUGGAGGCUUCCAAGGGAGACUGGAUAGGCACUAUCUAGGAUGGUUUGGGGAUAUCACAUCCUACAUUUGGGUAGGAAGGUAGGUCUGUUCCAACACUAUGAUUCUGUAAGAGACAAGCUCCCUUGGAGGAAUUCCCAGGACAAACCAAGGGCUUUUGGGCAUGGAGAUUGAACCAUUCUUUCAAUCCCUGAUUCAUGAUUCCAAAUGAGAGUAGAAGGCAUCAGUAGGCAGAGUUAGAAAGCAUCUCUGUAUUGUUCCAACAGCUUGUGUGGCAUUCUGGAGUCUGCACGCCUCUGCCAAUGCUGCUUCUGCUGUGUAAAUGCAGGAUUCCAGUCUCCAGGCAUAACAGUGGCACUUUUCCCAACCACUUCUUGGUGUUCACCAAGUUCUGCACUGGCCAUUAUCUCCUGCGUUUCAAGCUUGGCCAAUCAAUAUGGCCUGGUCUGGUGGCAUGUGCCGUGAUAGGGUUACUGUAUUCAUGCCCCAGUGGAGCCCAGUGGGAAUAGCUACUCCCCCAGGCAGGAAUUGGGAAAGAGUAUCCUCGGACUGGACUUGAGAAAGCUGCAGUGCAGGCCUGUGUUUACUAAUGAGAGAUGCUGGACCUGAGGGGUACUUAAUCAAAAGACUUGCUAUCCAGGAAGACUAGCAAGUACAGCUUAUUCCUCGCUUAACAUCAUAGUUACGUUCUUGAGAAAUGCAACUUUAAGCAAAACAAUGUUAAGCAAAUCCAGUGAUAUCACAGAAGUUACCUACCAGCAGGCGGUGGCUAAACAACAUUAUAACCGAACACUGCGGAACUUAAAACGAGUACGCUAAUAGAUCCAUGACGUAAUAACAAAACAAUGUUAACCGGGAUGAUGUUAAGUGAGGAGUACCUGUAUGGCUGAAGACCAGCUUGACUUAGCAGAGGACUCUUCAGUAAACUAAAUCACAAAAAGGCAGCUUGUAAGUGAAAACUUGGGCAAACAACUAGGGAGGAGUAUAAAAGUGUUGCUCGGGCACGCAGGGAAGAAGUCAGGAAGGCCAAAGUGCAAUUGGAGUUACAGCUAACAAGGAUUGUGAAGGGUAACAAAAAGGGUUUCUACAAGUAUAUCAGUAACAAGAGGAAGAUAAGGGAAAGUGUGUAUCCCUUACUGAACAGGGGAGGCAACCUAGUGACAGAGGAUGCAGAAAAGGCUGAAGUACUAAAUGCCUUUUUCACCUCAGCCUUCACAGGCAAGGUCAGCUCCCAGGCUACUGCACUGGGCAGCACAGUUUGGGGAGAAGGUAAGCAGCCAAUUGUGGUGAAAGAACAGGUUAGGGACUAUUUAGAAAAGCUGGACAUAUACAAGUCCAUGAAGCCGGACGGGAUGCACCCAAGGGUGCUGAGGGAGUUGGCCAAUGUGAUUGCAGAGCCACUGGGCAUCAUCUUUGAAAACUCAUGGUGAUCAGGAGAGGUCCUGGAUGAUUGGAAAAAUGCAAAUAUAGGGCCGAUAUUUAAGAAAGGGAAAGGAGGAUCCACGGAACUCAAGACUGCCUCACCUCAGACCCCCAAAAAAUGAUGAAGCAGAUCCUCAAGAAAUCCAUUUCUAAGCACUUGGAAGAGGAUAAGGUGAUUAGGAAGAGUCAGCAUGGAUUCACCAAGGGCAAGUCAUGCCUGAACAACCUGAUUGCCUUCUAUGAUGAGAUGACUGGCUCUAUGGAUGUGGGGAGACCAGUGGUAUACCUUGAUUUUAGCAAAGCUUUUGACACAGUCUCCCAUAGCAUUCUUGCAGGCAAAUGAAAGAACUACAGGUUGGAGGAAUGGACUGUAAAGUAGAUAGAAAACUGGCUGGAUUGUUGGGCUCAGAGGGUUACAGUAAUCAAUGGCUUGAUGUCUAGCUGGCAGCUAAUAUCAAGUGGAGUGCCCCAGGGGUCAGUCCCUGGGGUCAGUUUUGUUCAAUAUCUUCAUCAAUGACCUGGAAGAUGCCACAGAGUGAACUCUCAGAAAGUUUGUAGAUGACACCAAGCUGGGAGGAGUAGUAGAUAUGCUGGAUGGUAGGGCUAGGAUUCAGAGAGACCUGGACAAAUUGGAGGAUUGGGUCAAAAGGAAUCUCAUGAGAUUCAACGAGGACAAGUGCAAAGUCCUGCGCUUAGGAUGGAAGAAUCCCAUGCACGAGGGCAGGCUGCGGGCUGACUGGCUGGGCAGCAGCUCUGCAGAAAAGGAUCUGGGGGUUACAGUGGACAAUAUGCCGAAUAUGAGGCAACAGCGUGGCCUUGUUGCCAAGAAAGCUAAUGGCAUACUGGGCUACAUUGGUAGGAGUGUUGCCAGCAGAUCAAGGGAAUUGAUUAUUUCCCUCUAUUCAGCACUGGUGAGGCCAUAUUUGGAGUACAGUAUUCAGUUUUGCCCUUUGCCCCCAACUACAGAAAGGAAGUGGACAAAUUGUAGAGAGUCCAAUGGAGGGCAAUGAAAAUGGUUCAGGGGCUGGAGGCGCAUGACUUCUGAGGAGAGGCUGAGGGAACUGGGCUUAUUUAGUGCAGAGAAGAAAAGACUGAGAAGAGAUUUAAUAGCAGCCUUCAACUUCCUGAAGCAUGGUUCCAAAGAGCCUGGAGCUGGACUGUUCUUAGUGGUGGCAGAUGACAGAACAAGGAACAAUGGUCUGAAGUUCGAGCAAAGGAAGUUUAGGUUAAAUAUUAGGAUGAACUUUCUCACUAGGAGGGCAGUAAAACACUGGAAUGGAUUACUGAGAGAGGUGGUGGAAUUCUCCACCCUUGGAGGUUUUAAAGACCUGGCUAGACAAAGCCUUGGGUAGGAUGAUUUAGUUGAGGAUGGUCCUGCUCUGAGCAGUGGGUUGAAUUAAAUGACCUUCUGAGGUCCCGUCAACCCUAAUUUUCUAUGAUUCUAUGAUCCUCAGCAUGUGUGAAAUGAAGCCAAGAGGAUGUCAUUUUGUUGGCUACUCUGGUUCCCAACUGUCACUGGUAAUAGUGAUGGUGGCAGAGCAGAGCAGUGCUCUGGGGGUCUGAAAGACAGGCUUAACCACAGCUGGAGGGGACUCCUACCCUUGGUCAAGGGAGGGGGAAGAAGGACAUGGCAGUAUUAAGGCAUUUGUUAUGUGUAGGCUAGUGGUAAACCUUUUGUCCCUGUGAUCUCUGUUUUUUUUCCUCAUAAGCACAAACAGUGACCUCUGCCCUUUGGCUCCUGCUGUUUAAUUCAUGGUCAUUCACUAAUAUGAUUGCAGCCCUACUUGCUCUAAUCAUGGCUGAGGUACGUGAUCAUGCAUCUAUUAGCAGUACCUUGCUGGCUCGCUCAGCUUUGUCUUAAUGCUUAUUUGAGCUGGCUAGCUGCCAGUCAGAGGUGUUCUCAUGACCAAUAAAACAGCCUGCAAAAGCUUAAGACAUUUGAAAACAGAUUCACUGAGACCUGCAGUUGAAACCAGGGAAGCACAGGAAAACCAUCCUUUUUUAAUGUGAAUCUCCUCACUGGUACUGGCUGGUGAUAUGUUUUCUCCUCUCAAUGAGUCAAGGGCUUGUGCAGCCUGUCAUCCCUCCCCAAAGCAAUGAGGCUGAAGACUAAAUUAUCUCAUCUUCCUUAAGUGUCUGUAAGUAAAACUAAAUUGACCUAGGUAAUUGGCAAUGAAGCCUCUUCUGCUUGCCCCUUAUUUUCCUUCUGGACACAUUGUCUGCGACAGUUAAACUGUCCAACUCUUCAGCCAAACAGGAAAAAGGUGACUGAAGAGAAAUGCAAGUGUUCAGUGAGUCUUCAGUUUGCUUUAAUACUGUGGAAAGAUGAAAAAAUCCUUUACAUAAUUGUAACACGAUUCCAACAGCAGAAGUAGGAAAUGCUUGUUGAUACAUUUCAGUAACACAUUUGCGUAGAUAGCCACUGCAGCUCACUCUCCCUUUCAAAUAAAGUGUUUUUCACAGGCUCCGUAAUAUUGCCCAUUGUCUUUCAUCUCCAAAAGCUACUACCAAGCUGUGGUUUAUUGCAUUUUGUUUCAUGGGAACAGUUGCCAUGGAUCACCAUGCUGUUUUCCACAGGAAUGGACCUGCUGUCAAUCCCCAACUGAUAAUCUGGGGAGGGCAGGCAGGACUGAGAGCUGGCACAGAACAGCUGUUACAGCACUGCAGCACAUUGGUCACAAGUGCUAGAAGAACAUGUGCACCGCUGCAUAGUGUAACACAUCACCCACAGAGUCAGCAGUAAGCUGUCCAGAAUUAGUUUUGCCUGCCAUUGCACAGCUGUCCUCAUGUGUCUGGACCUAGCCAUUCCUUAAUGGUUCCUGCUUCUUAAGACUGUAAAAGGGAAAGUGCUUUUCAUCCACCUGAAUUUGUUACCUAUUUAAAGGACUGCACGCUUUGGAAUAUAACUGACUUCUUGCAUACCUACCAGCUUGUGUUCCAUGUCUCGUGGAUGGCUACUAAGCACUGGCAUCAUGCUGGUAUCACAAACCCAUUGCUAGCAAGUCAGCACAGCACCUAGACAAAGAUCCUCCUUACCCCGCAGCAAGAAUUCCACAGCAAUGUUUCACUCCUGCCUGGGCCACUCCCCAGGCAGCAAGCAGAUCGUUCACUCUUCUGACAGACAAGCCAAAACUCAUCUGCACCAUAAAAAACCAUAGAGCCUCAUUCACUUUCCAUUUAACAUGGAGCUGAGAAGUAUGCUCGGUGCCCACACCUCAGCCCCUUCCAGGCCUAUGGAGGGAACAACUCAAGGAGCAGGUUAAAAAAAAUGUCAGCCAACCAGCAUGAGCCUGUUCCAUUAGAACUGGGUGACCAGAUGCCUUCUCUGUCACCUUGAAAAGAAAAUCAAGGCUUGGCAGUCUGUUAUUGCAACCUUGUUCCCUUGCCAAGGACACUGAAUGCAACAUUAGAGGAAAGCGACUUCUGCGUUUUUCAAAUUCAGAGACUUCUACAAAACCCCGAGAUACAUCUGGCCAGGCGAGGGCUCUGCACACUGCCCUUCUGAGCUGUCAGCAUGGAGGAGCCAGGGCACCCAAACAGAACAAGCAGCUGCUGCACUGUUGGCAGCAUUAGCAGAAAACAUCCCUGCUACAUUUGAACAAUGGAGCAGUGUUUUGAGGGGGAGGACAGCUGUGUCAAAAUACAUGGCAACGGAGGGGGCAGCUGCCUGUUGUGCAUUGCACUGCACCAACUGUAGCUGAGGCAGGGAGGGGAAGUUAGGCAAUAAAGAGGUUUUCUAGGUCUUUGCCAUUCUAGCCUGUUGCAGGUAGAGUGCCUUGAUAGUGUUUGGGGGUAAGAACUUCUUUUUCUGGAAAUAAAUUUGCAAGCUUUUCCAUGGUGUAGAACAAGCUGAGCAGUUGUCCCCAUGUCUUUGUGACUCCUCUACCAAAAAUGCAGUUUGAAACCAUGCACACGCACGACUGUGUUAACCAGCUCUAUCUGUCAUAUGCAUUAGGAUUUAACUGGUUCCUCAGCUAUCACUGGGAUAAGGAGUUUGUUGGAAGGCAAAGAGAAAACUGAUUGCAAUCUCUUAUUAGAACAGUCUGGAUGAUGGCUAACUUCAGUAUUCUCAAUAUUAUGAGGUUAUUUAAUGAUGAGUUUGGCAUUAGGACUCUGCGGCCACCACCGUAUUUAAAUGCACUAGCCUUGACAGCUGUGGUCUUGUUGUAGAAGUCUUUCUCAGAUUAACUUGCAAAGAUUUAGGAGCUGGAUCUGUGUCUGCCAUAUUCCUAAAUUUGGUACAAGAACUGUGUUGUGGUAGAAUCGUAGAAAAUUAGGAUUAGAAGGCAUGUCAGGAGGUCUAGUACAACUCCCUGCUCAAAACGGGACCAUUCCCAACUAGAUCAUUUCUCCCAAGGCUUUGUUGAGCUGGACCUUCCAAGCCUCCAAGGAUGGAGAUUUCACCACCUCUCUAGGUAACCCAUCCCACUGUUUCACCACCCUCCUAGUGAGAGCUUUUCCUAUCCAACCUAAGCCUCCCUUGCUGCAGCUUAAGACCAUUGCUCAUUUCUGUCCUCUGUCACCACUGAGAAUAGUAUAGCUUCAAUAGAAGUCUGCUUCAAACUGACAAAUAGCUAGACCUCUUUCUAGGAUUGAGGUUUAUCUCCCUCACAACUCACCUGGUGUUUCUUGUAUUGCACCUCUGGAAUACAGAGCCUCUCCCUUCUCCAAGCUGUUUUGUUUUUAAAUUUUAAAAAAUUAAGUCUAGACUUCCUUGCUCCUUCUUGAAGCUGAUGAAACAUGCUCAAAAACAGAACUGCUGCUGCAGGCAAGUUAAGAUCUGUUCCUCCUCCCAUCCUAAAGGCUAAAGCAAGGUUUAACCUUUUGGGAGGUGCUUUCAAUAUCAACAAGGGAAGAUCUGCUAUUUCUCAAAGGAUGAGAAGAGCUCUUUUCAUGCUGUGUGGCAUUCUGCUAUCCAGGAGCAAGAAGCCACACUACAUUUGUCUCCCUUGCAAAUAGUAAAUGGGUCCAUAGUAAACCAGUGCCUAGAGGAAGCAAUUCCCAAAAAAGUAUGUCCUGCCAAGCUUUUAUCAAUGGGGCUGUAUACUGCCCUCUUUUUAAAAUUUGGAUGCUAACAGAAGGUUCUAACACAGCUGAAUACUCUAACAGGAUGAUGGUUCUGAGCACUGGGGGUGUUUUUAUGAAGUUAUCUUUCUCUGGAAUGACAGGCCAGAAGCCUCUUUGAAAUGAGAUUACAAAAAGCCAAGCUAGUCAUGAAAGCAAAGGUGGUGGAAGUUAUGUAAAGUCUCAAAAAACUUCAGCAACUCUCGAACUUCUAGGCCCAUUUCAAAUCCUGUGACAGGCACCACCCACAGAUACAGUAUGGGUUGCAUCCAGCACUGAAGCCUGCCACUAACCUGAGGAAAGGAAAAGAAGCCCAUUUUUGUUUACAGCAAUGACUGACCGCAUCUCACUUCCCAGCGCUCAGGACAUGCUACAGUGAUACUUGGCAGACAUGGAUGGCCAUGAGCCUUCAAUUCAUGUACCCCAGCUGAAGCCAGAGAACUAAUGCAACUCCAGCAAGCAACAAGCUCUCUGCUCUACCUGCAGAGGAUAACAUAAAACAAGUGUCAUUGUCCCAGACUGAAAGCUAAGACAAACAGCAGGUUGGGGACUACUAUAGUGCAGUGCCUCUGCCAAUGUAAAUGCUGUUAGAACAGACUCAUGGGAGUUCAGUAAGUCUUUGGAACUGAGAAAGAAUGAUAACUUCUGCAGUGUGAAAACAGCACACCACCAGCCACUUGACUGCAAGUUAAGCGAGACUCUUCGGUGAUCAACAGUAAGAGGGAGUUGAAAAGCUCCUGCAGUCCCCAACUUGUUCUUCUAUGGCAUCAAGCAGUCUAACUCCCCACCACUUCUAGUACAGCUCAGCAGGAGGCUCAAUGACUUCAAACUGUCCAGAACUGACAAACCAAGAUCAAGUCCCCACAUCAUUCAUUUGAACCCAAGUGUCCUGGGAUCUCAGUGGAAUUUUAUGAAUGCUACUUUUGGAGCAGGUUCAUUCAAGCUGGCACUAUGUUCUUCAACUCUGAUAAGCAGAUUGCUAGGCCUGAACAAUCACCUAAAAUUUAUUUUUUAUCUUCAAUUUGUAUUUCUAGCAAGGUUAAAAAAAGAAGCCCCAAAGCUUAGCUAUUUAAGUAUUUCCCCUUGCAUUACAACACCACAAUCCACUACUACAUAUUAAAUGAAGGAGCAACACAAGCAAACAUUUACCAGGAGAAAAGGAUGGGAGACACUCAAUGUAGUAACGAGCAGCAAUAAAGAUAUGCUCCAGCACACAAGCUUUUAUUGGCUUGGCUUGGCUUCUGGUUAUUUGUUGCCUUAAUUUCCUUUAGUCUAAAAGCAGUUUUUCAAGACUCAUUAAAAAUCAUUCUUGGAGAACGUGGAAAAGGACACUUUUAAAACACUGUGAGGAACUGAGGUGUGCAACUCCUAGUUAAGACUUAUUUCCACAUUCUCACGCAACCACCUUGUACCAAACCAGCCUUGAAAAUACAGCAUCAGGCAGUGAAAAAGAUGCCGAGUCUUCCUCUCCCUACUGAAUUCAAAUGGCUCCUCUGGUUCUUAGUCUAGAAAUAAGGUUUAUGACUUCAGUGUCUAAAGUUAAGUCAAGUCAAUUCACAGGACAGUUCCAAAUAUAAUACAAAAAUAACAGGUUAAUAUAUUUUCACAGCAGCAGUGAGCACUUGAACCAAGAUCUCCUUUGUCACAGCAACACUGAAAUGUAGUGUUUUGAAGGAUACAGUUGCCUGGUCCACAGAUUUAGUCCCAAUUGUGAUUAAUAGGAAUUCCACAGUAAGCUUCCUGGCUGUCCAUGACUGAAAAUUUGCUCUUUCAAGAGGUAUUAAACACAAGCAUGAUUAUAUAACGGAGUCUAAUCUAACUUCCAAGAGGUACAGUAAAAUAUUAUAAUGCAAUGUAAUUUAAUCAUGAAAAACUAAACCAAGGGAAGCCAGUAAAAGGGUGAUCUUGCAAGUGACAAAGAACCACGUGGCAAAGAACCUUAAAAUAGAGUUCGGGGUAAAUAACUGCCCCAUUAAGCCUAUGCAUAUUUACCCUUACAUCUAGCAGACUGUAAUCAUCAAGUUAAGGUACAGUUAGGCACUGCUACUUCCUAGUUUAACCAUUCAGAAGGCAACAGUCCAGCCCUACUUUCCAUGCUCUUUAUAAUUUAGUGGUCUGAGUACAAACUCAGUUUCCUUUAAAUAGGUAAGCUACUAUGAGGCACAAUACUGCAGUGAAGAAUGUUUAGCUUGUUAAACAUAAAAACAGAUUUUAAUCUGGGGGGCUCAUUGAUACUGAAAUUUGAGUUUCAAGAUUCUAGGGAAAGUGUCACUGUUUUUUUGGAAGCACUAGGAAAUUUUUGCCAGUCUACUGUGUAUAGGCACUAAUUCACACACCCAGCUUAAAAAGAAAAAAGAACCAAACAAACAAUAGUGUUAAUCAUUUCUAGAGAAAUUUAGGUCUGAGAAGGGGUAGAAGGAACUUAAUCCUUCCCCCCUCGCUCCCCUCCUAUUUUUCUUUAAUCAGUUUUACAGCCCAAAAGUGCUAUUUGCAUUUCUGUCCAAAAAAGCCAGGUCAAAUAUUUCUAGAUAAAAUUCUGGUAUUACUACUCACCCAUAUUUUUAAAUAAGUGACUCACUGAGUGUAAAGUGAAAAAAUUAUAUGAAACGGGACUAAACUGGUAAGCAAUUCAAAGCUAACAAAGGACUGGGAAUAUUGAACAAAAGUCUGACUUGAGUUUCCUGGUGUUUGGUUUGUGUCAACAACUCUCAAAAUAUACCAAGUCAAUAAAUGUUUUAAGACAUUCUAUUUAGGUAGGUGUUAACAUACAUUCAGGCCAUAAUCUACUCUGAUACGUGUACACAAUUGACUUGGGGGGAGUGACACACAUUUAAGGAGAGAAUAUGGCCCUAAUAAUUUUUAAAAUCUUUUAAGUUUAUUUCUCAAACACCAUGAGUUUAAAAAAAGAAAAAGAGAAUCAUUUGCAGAAAGGAAAGCAGCUGUUAAAGGAAGCAGUUACUCAGGUAUACAAGGGCAAAAACAGCAUCAGUCAAUGAGUUUUUAGAGGCUUGUAUAACCAAGAAAA